AGUCGAACGAAGCGCUUAAAUGGAUUUCUUCGGAUUGAAGUUUUUGUGACUGAGUGGCGGACGGGUGAGUAACGCGUGGGUAACCUGCCUCAUACAGGGGGAUAACAGUUAGAAAUGACUGCUAAUACCGCAUAAGCGCACAGUGCCGCAUGGCACAGUGUGAAAAACUCCGGUGGUAUGAGAUGGACCCGCGUCUGAUUAGCUGGUUGGUGGGGUAACGGCCUACCAAGGCGACGAUCAGUAGCCGGCCUGAGAGGGUGAACGGCCACAUUGGGACUGAGACACGGCCCAAACUCCUACGGGAGGCAGCAGUGGGGAAUAUUGCACAAUGGGGGAAACCCUGAUGCAGCGACGCCGCGUGAGCGAAGAAGUAUUUCGGUAUGUAAAGCUCUAUCAGCAGGGAAGAAAAUGACGGUACCUGACUAAGAAGCACCGGCUAAAUACGUGCCAGCAGCCGCGGUAAUACGUAUGGUGCAAGCGUUAUCCGGAUUUACUGGGUGUAAAGGGAGCGUAGACGGUUGUGUAAGUCUGAUGUGAAAGCCUGGGGCUCAACCCCGGGACUGCAUUGGAAACUAUGUAACUAGAGUGUCGGAGAGGUAAGCGGAAUUCCUAGUGUAGCGGUGAAAUGCGUAGAUAUUAGGAGGAACACCAGUGGCGAAGGCGGCUUACUGGACGAUCACUGACGUUGAGGCUCGAAAGCGUGGGGAGCAAACAGGAUUAGAUACCCUGGUAGUCCACGCCGUAAACGAUGACUACUAGGUGUCGGGGAGCAAAGCUCUUCGGUGCCGCAGCAAACGCAAUAAGUAGUCCACCUGGGGAGUACGUUCGCAAGAA
rnacentral:rRNA from 1 species